GUGAAUCAUCGAAUUUUUGAACGCAAAUUGCACUCUCUUCGGAUAGUAUGCCUGUUUGAGUUUCAGUAUUAAUAAAAAUCGGUAUGUUUCUUCUUUCUGACUCCCCGGGUUUUGGGUCAUCUUAAUAUCGUUUAGGUUUUAAGAGGCUUAAAAUUGGCUUUUUUUGCUCAUUUUAGAUGUACAUAAAUUCUUUUUUUUAUUCUUCUGUCUUAAUGCUCAAAAUCCUAGUAGAUGCGAC
rnacentral:misc_RNA from 1 species